UACGAAGGGGGCUAGCGUUGUUCGGAUUUACUGGGCGUAAAGCGCACGUAGGCGGAUUGUUAAGUCGGGGGUGAAAUCCUGGAGCUCAACUUCAGAAUUGCCUUCGAUACUGGCUUUCUAGAGGCUGGAAGAGGUUAGUGGAAUUCCCAGUGUAGAGGUGAAAUUCGUAGAUAUUGGGAAGAACACCAGUGGCGAAGGCGACUACCUGGCCUGUUCUUGACGCUGAGGCGCGAAAGCUAGGGGAGCAAACGGG
rnacentral:rRNA from 1 species